rnacentral:rRNA from 1 species
GACGGAAGGUGCAAGCGUUGCUCGGAAUUACUGGGCGUAAAGCGCGUGUAGGCGGUUGCCCUAGUCAGGUGUGAAAGCCUUGAGCUUAACUCAAGAAAUGCACUUGAUACUGGGCGACUAGAGGACCGGAGAGGAUAGUGGAAUUCCCAGUGUAGUGGUGAAAUACGUAGAGAUUGGGAAGAACACCAGUGGCGAAGGCGGCUAUCUGGACAGAUACCGACGCUGAGGCACGAAAGCUAGGGGAGCAAACAGG